GGAAUUAAGAUCUCCGUUGGUGACCAGCGGAGGGAUCAUUACCGAGUUUACAACUCCCAAACCCCUGUGAACAUACCUUAAUGUUGCCUCGGCGGAUCAGCCCGCGCCCCGUAAAACGGGACGGCCCGCCAGAGGACCCAAACUCUAAUGUUUCUUAUUGUAACUUCUGAGUAAAACAAACAAAUAAAUCAAAACUUUCAACAACGGAUCUCUUGGUUCUGGCAUCGAUGAAGAACGCAGCAAAAUGCGAUAAGUAAUGUGAAUUGCAGAAUUCAGUGAAUCAUCGAAUCUUUGAACGCACAUUGCGCCCGCUGGUAUUCCGGCGGGCAUGCCUGUUCGAGCGUCAUUUCAACCCUCAAGCCCCCGGGUUUGGUGUUGGGGAUCGGCUCUGCCCUUCUGGGCGGUGCCGCCCCCGAAAUACAUUGGCGGUCUCGCUGCAGCCUCCAUUGCGUAGUAGCUAACACCUCGCAACUGGAACGCGGCGCGGCCAUGCCGUAAAACCCCAACUUCUGAAUGUUGACCUCGGAUCAGGUAGGAAUACCCGCUGAACUUAAGCAUAUCAAUAAGCGGAGGAA
rnacentral:rRNA from 1 species